rnacentral:rRNA from 1 species
GUGGGGAAUCUUAGACAAUGGGGGAAACCCUGAUCUAGCCAUGCCGCGUGAGCGAUGAAGGCCUUAGGGUUGUAAAGCUCUUUCAGCUGGGAAGAUAAUGACGGUACCAGCAGAAGAAGCCCCGGCUAACUCCGUGCCAGCAGCCGCGGUAAUACGGAGGGGGCUAGCGUUGUUCGGAAUUACUGGGCGUAAAGCGCGCGUAGGCGGACCAGAAAGUUGGAGGUGAAAUCCCAGGGCUCAACCUUGGAACUGCCUUCAAAACUCCUGGUCUGGAGUUCGAGAGAGGUGAGUGGAAUUCCGAGUGUAGAGGUGAAAUUCGUAGAUAUUCGGAGGAACACCAGUGGCGAAGGCGGCUCACUGGCCCGGUACUGACGCUGAGGUGCGAAAGCGUGGGGAGCAAACAGGAUUAGAAACCCGGGUAGUCC